GAUAAACGCUGGCGGCGUGCAUGAGACAUGCAAGUCGAACGAAGGAUCCGGCUUGCUCGAUCCUUAGUGGCGGACGGCCGAGUAACGCGUAGGUGACCUACCCCGAAGUGGGGAAUAACUGCCCGAAAGGGUCGCUAAUAACGCACGUGGUCGCACUCUCGUUCGUGCGUGUAAAGUCGCAAGGCGCUUCGGGGGGGGCCUGCGUCCGGUUAGCUCGUCGGGGUGGUGAUGACUUAGCAAGGCGACGAUCGGUAGGUGGUCUGAGAGGACGAUAACCCAGGUAGGGACUGAGACGCGGCCCAGAAUCCGAGGCAGGACAGCAGUAGGGAAUUUUGCGCAGUGAGGGAAACCCUGAAGCAGCCACGCCGCGUGAGAGAGGCAGGCCGUCGGAUUGUAAACCUCUUUUGUCAGAGACGAUGGUGACGGUACCUGGCGAAUAAGCCACGGCUAACUACGUG
rnacentral:rRNA from 1 species